rnacentral:rRNA from 1 species
UUAUGUGAUCGUCUCUCGCAUAUCAAUAAGCGGAGGAAAAGAAACUAACAAGGAUUCCCCUAGUAACGGCGAGUGAAGCGGGAAGAGCUCAAAUUUGAAAUCUUAAAGGGUUUCCCUUUACGAAUUGUAGUUUAAAGAAGUGUUUUCUGUUGAGGUUUUGGUAAAAGUUCUUUGGAAUAGGACAUCAUAGAGGGUGAGAAUCCCGUAUUUGACCUUUACUUUCAACUUUGUGAUACACUUUCAAAGAGUCGGAUUGUUUGGGAAUGCAGUCCAAAAUGGGUGGUAAAUUUCAUCUAAAGCUAAAUAUUGGCGAGAGACCGAUAGCGAACAAGUACCGUGAGGGAAAGAUGAAAAGAACUUUGAAAAGAGAGUUAAACAGUACGUGAAAUUGUCAAAAGGGAAGCGUUUGACACCAGUGUUGUUUUUCUGAAAAUCAAUUAAAGAACUGUUUAUGCUAAGUUGUUUAGACUUUAUCAGCUAACUGUUUAGUUUUGAGCUUUUCUUUAAUGCACUUUUCAGUUAACAAGUCAACAUCAAUUUCUUUUGCUGUAAAAAAGCUUGAGGAAGGUGGCUUGAGAUUCGUCUUAAGUGUUUAUAGCCUCUUGCCUAUGCAGUCGGAGAGAUUGAGGUCUGCAGCGUAGAUCCUUCGGGGCUAAAUGCAUUUGUGCUAAGUUAUAGCAUUUUAUAGACAACUUGUUGACUAUGAUUUGUCUUGUAGCUUACUCGCUUAUGUUAUUUUACCUACGCUUAGGAUGUUGAGUAGCGACAUACGCAC